AAAACUUACCAGGUCAAGACAUGGGCGUGAUUGACAGGCUAAUGACUUUUCUCGAUUCCAUGGAUGGUGGUGCAUGGUCGCACUUAGUUGGUGCAGUGAUUUGUCAGGUUUAUUCCGGUAACGAACGAGACCUCGGCCUUGUAAAUAGCUAUGCUGCUUACAGGGACAUUGGCGGCUACGCCAAGGAAGCUCGAGGCAAUUGCAGAUCUGGAAUGCCCUUAGAUGUCCUGGGUCGCACGCGUGCUACAAUGACGCCACGAACGAGCUUGCGUGAUGAAAGUUACGCAUAAUCAGCAGUCGGCGUCUUAAGGGAUAGUCUCUUGUAACUGUGGGACUCCAACUAGGAAUGUCUCGUAAGCACAAGUCAACAUCUUGUGUUGAUUACGUCCCUGCUCUUUGUACACACCGCCCGUCGCUCCUACCGAUCGAGUGUUUAGGUGAAUUUGAUGGACGUAAGGAAGUCAAAUAAACCUGAGCACUAGAGAAGAGAAGUCGAUAUG
rnacentral:rRNA from 1 species